UACGUAGGUGGCGAGCGUUGUCCGGAUUUACUGGGCGUAAAGAGCGCGCAGGCGGCUGGGCAAGUCCGAUGUGAAAGCUUCCGGCUUAACUGGAAAAUUGCAUCGGAAACUGCUCGGCUUGAAGGUGGGAGAGGGUAGCGGAAUUCCCGGUGUAGUGGUGAAAUGCGUAGAUAUCGGGAGGAACACCAGUGGCGAAGGCGGCUUCCUGGACCGGCAUUGACGCUGAGGCGCGAAAGCUAGGGGAGCAAACGGG
rnacentral:rRNA from 1 species